UACGUAGGAUGCAAGCGUUGUCCGGAUUUACUGGGCGUAAAGAGCGCGCAGGCGGUCGUUCAAGUCGCGUGUGAAAGCCCCCGGCUCAACUGGGGAGGGUCACGCGAUACUGAUCGACUCGAAGGCAGGAGAGGGUAGUGGAAUUCCCGGUGUAGUGGUGAAAUGCGUAGAUAUCGGGAGGAACACCAGUGGCGAAGGCGACUACCUGGCCUGUUUCUUGACGCUGAGGCGCGAAAGCUAGGGGAGCAAACGGG
rnacentral:rRNA from 1 species